UACGGAGGGUGCAAGCGUUGUCCGGAUUUAUUGGGUUUAAAGGGUGCGUAGGCGGUCUAUUAAGUCAGUGGUGAAAGCCAACAGCUCAACUGUUGAACUGCCAUUGAUACUGAUAGACUUGAGUACAGACGAGGUAGGCGGAAUUGAAGAUGUAGCGGUGAAAUGCAUAGAUAUCUUCAAGAACACCGAUUGCGUAGGCAGCUUACUAGGCUGUAACUGACGCUGAGGCACGAAAGCGUGGGGAGCGAACAGG
rnacentral:rRNA from 1 species